rnacentral:tRNA from 1 species
AGGGGCGUAGUUAAACGGUAUAACGGCGGUCUCCAAAACCGCUAUUCAUGGUUCGAUUCCGUGCGCCCCUGCCA